CUUCCGUAGGGUGAACCUGCGGAAGGAUCAUUUAUGAUUGAACGUCUGUCGAGCUUGCUCACAGGCACAUCAUAUCCAUAACACCUGUGCACUUGUCGGAUGGCUUUGUGAAGACCGCAAGGUUGGAACUAUCCGUCUACUUUUCAUAACAAUUCUGUAACAAAUGUAGUCUUUUUUUAACAUAAUAAAACUUUCAACAACGGAUCUCUUGGCUCUCGCAUCGAUGAAGAACGCAGCGAAAUGCGAUAAGUAAUGUGAAUUGCAGAAUUCAGUGAAUCAUCGAAUCUUUGAACGCACCUUGCGCUCCUUGGUAUUCCGAGGAGCAUGCCUGUUUGAGUGUCAUGAAAACCCUCAACCUUUGAUUGGUUUAAACCUUUCUUUGGCUUGGAUUUGGACGUUUGCCGAUGAUAAGUCGGCUCGUCUUUAAAGUAAUAGCUGGAUCUGUCUCGCGACAUGGUUUGACUUGGCGUAAUAAGUAUUUCGCUAAGGACAUCUUCGGAUGGCCGCGUUGCAAGACUAAAGACCGCUUUCUAAUUCAUUGAUCUUCGGAUUUAUAUUCUUGACAUCUGGCCUCAAAUCAGGUAGGACUACCCGCUGAACUUUAGCAUAUCAAUAAGCCGGAGGAAGGAU
rnacentral:rRNA from 1 species